UUCCCCUAGUAACUGCGAGUGAAGCGGGAAAAGCUCAAAUUUAAAAUCUGGCGGUCUUCGGCCGUCCGAGUUGUAAUCUGGAGAAGCGUUUUCCGCGCUGGACCGUGUACAAGUCUCUUGGAACAGAGCGUCAUAGAGGGUGAGAAUCCCGUCUUUGACACGGACUACCAGUGCUAUGUGAUGCGCUCUCGAUGAGUCGAGUUGUUUGGGAAUGCAGCUCAAAAUGGGUGGUAAAUUCCAUCUAAAGCUAAAUAUUGGCGAGAGACCGAUAGCGAACAAGUACCGUGAGGGAAAGAUGAAAAGCACUUUGGAAAGAGAGUUAAACAGUACGUGAAAUUGCUGAAAGGGAAACGAUUGAAGUCAGUCGCGUGUGCUAGAACUCAGCCUUGCUUUUGCUUGGUGCAUUUUCUAGUGUACGGGCCAGCAUCAGUUUUGGCCGCCGGAAAAAGGCCUUGGGAAUGUGGCACCUUCGGGUGUGUUAUAGCCCUUGGUUGUAUACGGUGGCUGGGACUGAGGAACAUAGCAUGCCUUUAUGGCGGAGCUUCGGCUACCUUCAUGCUUUGGAUGCUGGCGUAAUGGCUUUAAACGACCCGUCUUGAAACACGGACCAAGGAGUCUAACAUGCCUGCGAGUGUUUGGGUGGAAAACCCGAGCGCGUAAUGAAAGUGAAAGUUGGGACUUCUGUCGUGGAAGGCACCGACGCCCGGACCAGACCUUCUGUGACGGAUCCGCGGUAGAGCAUGUAUGUUGGGACCCGAAAGAUGGUGAACUAUGCCUGAAUAGGGUGAAGCCAGAGGAAACUCUGGUGGAGGCUCGUAGCGAUUCUGACGUGCAAAUCGAUCGUCAAAUUUGGGUAUAGGGGCGAAAGACUAAUCG
rnacentral:rRNA from 1 species